AUUGAACGCUGGCGGCAGGCCUAACACAUGCAAGUCGAACGCGUGGCGCACGGGUGUAAAAUGUCGGGGACACGGCCUGAUGGGGGGGGAUAACUACGGGAACCGGUAGCUAAUACCGCAUACCCUCAUAUGUGCCCAGAGGGGAUGAGCUAGUGGGUGGGGGAACGGCGCACCACGGCCACGGUCCCUAGCUGGUCUGAGAGGAUGACCAGCAACACGGGAACUGAGACACGGUCCAGACUCCUACGGGAGGCAGCAGGGGGGAAUAUGGCACAAUGGGCGCAAGCCUGAUGCAGCCAUGCCGCGUGUAUGAAGAAGGCCUUCGGGUUGUAAAGUACUUUCAGAGGGGAGGCGUUACCCGCAGAAGAAGCACCGGCUAACUCCGUGCCAGCAGCCGCGGUAAUUC
rnacentral:rRNA from 1 species